rnacentral:rRNA from 1 species
CAGUCGCGCGGGAAUACGUAGGGUGCAAGCGUUAAUCGGAAUUACUGGGCGUAAAGCGUGCGCAGGCGGUUAUAUAAGACAGAUGUGAAAUCCCCGGGCUCAACCUGGGAACUGCAUUUGUGACUGUAUAGCUAGAGUACGGCAGAGGGGGAUGGAAUUCCGCGUGUAGCAGUGAAAUGCGUAGAUAUGCGGAGGAACACCGAUGGCGAAGGCAAUCCCCUGGGCCUGUACUGACGCUCAUGCACGAAAGCGUGGGGAGCAAACAGGAUUAGAUACCCCCGUAGUCCCUGUCUCUUAUACA